rnacentral:rRNA from 1 species
CGUAGGGGGCGAGCGUUGUCCGGAUUUAUUGGGCGUAAAGAGCUCGUAGGCGGUUUGGCAAGUCGGGUGUGAAAACUCCGGGCUCAACUCGGAGACGCCACUCGAUACUGCCAUGACUUGAGUCCGGUAGGGGAGUGCGGAAUUCCUGGUGUAGCGGUGAAAUGCGCAGAUAUCAGGAGGAACACCGGUGGCGAAGGCGGUACUCUGGGCCGGUACUGACGCUGAGGAGCGAAAGCGUGGGGAGCGAACAGGAUUAGAUACCCUGGUAGUCCACGCCGUAAACGUUGGGCACUAGGUGUGGGGCUCGAUCGACGGGCUCCGUGCCGUAGCUAACGCAUUAAGUGCCCCGCCUGGGAAGUACGGCCGCAAGGCUA